rnacentral:rRNA from 1 species
GGGGAAUAUUGCACAAUGGGCGCAAGCCUGAUGCAGCCAUGCCGCGUGUAUGAAGAAGGCCUUCGGGUUGUAAAGUACUUUCAGCGAGGAGGAAGGCAUUAAGGUUAAUAACCUUGGUGAUUGACGUUACUCGCAGAAGAAGCACCGGCUAACUCCGUGCCAGCAGCCGCGGUAAUACGGAGGGUGCAAGCGUUAAUCGGAAUUACUGGGCGUAAAGCGCACGCAGGCGGUUGAUUAAGUCAGAUGUGAAAUCCCCGAGCUUAACUUGGGAACUGCAUUUGAAACUGGUCAGCUAGAGUCUUGUAGAGGGGGGUAGAAUUCCAGGUGUAGCGGUGAAAUGCGUAGAGAUCUGGAGGAAUACCGGUGGCGAAGGCGGCCCCCUGGACAAAGACUGACGCUCAGGUGCGAAAGCGUGGGGAGCAAAC